CCUACGGGUGGCAGCAGUGGGGAAUAUUGGGCAAUGGGCGCAAGCCUGACCCAGCAACGCCGCGUGAAGGAAGAAGGCUUUCGGGUUGUAAACUUCUUUUCUCAGGGACGAAGCAAGUGACGGUACCUGAGGAAUAAGCCACGGCUAACUACGUGCCAGCAGCCGCGGUAAUACGUAGGUGGCAAGCGUUAUCCGGAUUUACUGGGUGUAAAGGGCGUGUAGGCGGGAAAGCAAGUCAGAUGUGAAAACCAUGGGCUCAACCUGUGGCCUGCAUUUGAAACUGUUUUUCUUGAGUACUGGGGAGGCAGACGGAAUUCCUAGUGUAGCGGUGAAAUGCGUAGAUAUUAGGAGGAACACCAGAGGCGAAGGCGGUCUGCUGGACAGCAACUGACGCUGAGGCGCGAAAGCGUGGGGAGCAAACAGGAUUAGAUACCCGAGUAGUC
rnacentral:rRNA from 1 species